UCCAACAUCCACUCACAUCCCAUUCCAACAUCCAUUCACAUCUCAUUCCAACAUCCAUUCACAUCUCAUUUCAGUAUCCAUUCACAUCUCAUUUCAACAUCCAUUCAUACUUUAUUCCAACAUCCACUCACAUCUCAUUCCAACAUCCAUUCACAUCUCAUUUCAGUAUCCAUUCACAUCUCAUUUCAUAUCCACUCACAUCUCAUUUCAAUAUCCAUU